GGUCCAGACAUAUGGAGGAUUGACAGACAGUUAACCAAAACGCAGCAGCUAGUUUAACAAAACUAACAGCUCUUUCAAGAUUAUGUGGUAGGUGGUGCAUGGCCGUUCUUAGUUCGUGAAGUGAUUCGUUCGCCCAAUCGCAUUUCCAAACAACUAACAACUCAGAAUGCUGGGCAAUAGGACGUUUAAAGUGGCUCCUUACACCUUACAAAGGAAUGGCUGAUGAGAAACAACUCGAUCCGCUCAGCGUUCUAUUGGAAUGCAACGGACGUGAUUGCAAGCUUUUGUUUUGAGUUGCGGUUUUACUGAAAGACUCUACAAUCCGCAAACUUCAAUGAUCUGAAGUAGAAAACCUACAUGCUACAGUGAGAUAUUGUGGAUAAACUU
rnacentral:rRNA from 1 species